rnacentral:tRNA from 1 species
CUUUGUGUAUUGUCAGUGGUAGACGGCUCGCCUUGGAAGCGAGAAGCGCAGGUUCGAAUCCUGUCACGAAGACCA